CCCGUGGGUGGUUUAGGACGAUAAAUCUACACAGCCCGAUUAAAGGUUUUAAAGGCAUACUAAACCCAGUCCCCUUUCCCCGACAUGGUUAUAUAUAUAUAUAUAUGGUUAUGUGCAUAUGCAUGGUUUUACUUGGUUUUAUAAAUGGCAUUAUUUUUUCCUUAUCUUGAGAUCAUGCUAGCAUUCACCUGCUAACCCAUCUACUAGCGGUUGUAUACCUACUUUAUGCAGGAACCAGCCGUUCUACUCCUCCUACACAAUGGUUGACAUGGGGAUUAGCAUUUGGACUGAAGUGGUGAGCUUCCAUCCUUUCGAAAGGCUCCAUUUUAUGUU
rnacentral:lncRNA from 1 species